UAUCUAUUUUCCCUUAACAGUUUGUUGCUUACCUGCACUUUGACACUGUUAGGAACCUCCUUUUCUCCUGCCCUGUGACCAUUGAUGUAUCUUCAUGACCCAUCUCAGAAGUGGUUCCCCCUUGGUUUAGACCCUGGUUGCUCUGGCCUUUACGCUGCAUGAAGAGAAGCCUGAAACAUGAGCACAGACUCUCUAUACGUGGAUUUAUGAGAUUUUGCAGGCAAGGAAACCCCUCGGCGAGGAGGCACAUUGUUUCGUUCAAGAUCGGAUCUGCUUGGUGCGGUGUUUGUCCCGCCCCUCCUGCACUAGGUAAAAAGUGACAUUGGCGAGUGCAGCGUUUUUCCCCAAAGUUGAACACUUUUCAACUCAGCAACCAGGGAAAAAAAACACUCAGUGCCCAGCGCGGAAAAGACGCUCAGUACCUCGUCUUUACUAGCUUGGAAAAAUGCGGCGCUUCCAUUGGCAUGAAUAGAAAAGACGCUGGCGCUUUAGACACGGACCUUUACUUGGUUGGCUUGUUAUUGUGUGUUUUUGACUGCACUCCACAAUUACAGCUCCUAUGUGGCUUUCACAGUGUUCUAGUGGAUGAGCAAGCAAAGUUUAUGUAGCACCUUUCAGACACCCGUCUGUGCUGCAAUCAAAAAAUAAAAUCUGACAAAACACAAUGGA